rnacentral:rRNA from 1 species
GAUGAACGCUGGCGGCGUGCCUAAUACAUGCAAGUCGAGCGAACGGACGAGAAGCUUGCUUCUCUGAUGUUAGCGGCGGACGGGUGAGUAACACGUGGAUAACCUACCUAUAAGACCGGGAUAACUUCGGGAAACCGGUGCUAAUACCGGAUGAUAUUUUGAACCGCAUGGUUCAAAAGUGAAAGACGGUCUUGCUGUCACUUAUAGAUGGAUCCGCGCUGCAUUAGCUAGUUGGUAAGGUAACGGCUUACCAAGGCAACGAUGCAUAGCCGACCUGAGAGGGUGAUCGGCCACACUGGAACUGAGACACGGUCCAGACUCCUACGGGAGGCAGCAGUAGGGAAUCUUCCGCAAUGGGCGAAAGCCUGACGGAGCAACGCCGCGUGAGUGAUGAAGGUCUUCGGAUCGUAAAACUCUGUUAUUAGGGAAGAACAUAUGUGUAAGUAACUGUGCACAUCUUGACGGUACCUAAUCAGAAAGCCACGGCUAACUACGUG